rnacentral:misc_RNA from 1 species
AAUCCAAGAAUUUCACCUCUAGCAUGUGAGUACUAAUGCCCCCGACUGUCCCUAUUAAUCAUUACGGCGAUUCCAAAAACCAACAAAAUAGAACCGCACGUCCUAUUUUAUUAUUCCAUGCUAAUAUAUUCCGGCGUCGAGCCUGCUUUGAACACUCUAAUUUUUUCAAAGUAAAGGUCCUGGUUCCCUGCUGCCGAAACAACAGAUCACCAAGAGGAAAGACCCAGCAAGACAGUACUCGCCGUGAGGCGGACCGCCUGUCCAGGUCCAAGGUCCAACUACGAGCUUUUUAACUGCAACAACUUUAAUAUACGCUAUUGGAGCUGGAAUUACC